UUUUGACCUAGUGUCUGUUUCAAUGACCUUAUGUUGGCUAACUGAUUAAUUGUGCAAGACUUCUCCAAAUGAACUGAUAAAAAUCAAGAGCUGACAGGGUGUGACAGUGACAAGUGAGAACUGCCUGAAAACAUAUGUGCCCAUCAUAGUAUAAACAUGCCGUAUAUAAAUAUGUGGACAUUUUUAAACAUCUUGACUGCUCUGCACUACCUCACAAAAGCCUGUACUCCAUCAUACAGUGGCUUGACACAGACAACAGCUUUCUCAGGAGGGUCUGUGCUGCUGCCAUGCACCUGUACCGACCCACAGGACAAGCCCCAGUCUGUCUUCUGGAAAUCCAACAGCAAAAGAGCUUCUAAAUAUGGCAUUUACACUGAUAUAUCGAGUGUGUUUGAGCUGUACAGUGACAGAAUUACACUGUUUAAUCAGACUUCACCUGGAAAUGUCUCUCUACUUCUGUCAGACCUGACUAAGGAUGAUCAGGGAUCAUAUGUCUGUUUGUUAAAUAAAACAUCCAGAUUCAUUGACGUCACCAUUGAAGAAAGAAGUGAAAGUACAACAUUUUCUAAGGCGAGUCUCAGUGCAGUGAUCUCUGUGUUGUUUCUAGUAAUAGCAGCAGGAGGAGCCGCUGUCAUUUACUGCAUGCACAGAGCUUACAGAAAAGCAAGAACAGAGACUGGAGAUAAAAAUGUGGAAAAUAUUUUAGAUGAUCACAAUUCAACAUAUUGUACUCUGCGGAAAAAAUAUGAUGCUGAGGAAAUGUAUGGAACUAUUGGGAACAGACCAAAGGAACAGUAGAAUGUCAGCUUCCAGAUGCUGAGAGUAGAGUUCAGCAAACUUCUUCGCUGUCUUCAGCUGUUCUUCACACCAGCCAAUCAGGAAGAUCUUCAGCACAUUCACUCGGGAGCUAUGGAAACGCUCAAUCUUCCAGACAUUAGUCCAAUAAUUAUACUACAUCCUCUAUAAAUGUACAAUGUGGAUCUGAUGUUCAGAUCAAGAAGUCAUGUAAUAAGAUUGUUCAAAUUUCCCUUGUAACAACUCUGGUAACACAUUUAGCAGACAAGCUCCUUUGGGUUUAACUUCAGUCACAGUUUUUACCUCUUGUUUAGCCACAGAUGAGAUCAGCCUAAACUCAACCACUUUUUGAAAUGCUUCCACCUAUAGUAUGAGACACAGAAAGACUUCAUCUGAAUUUACCAGAUAAACAUGACGUGAACACUUCAGUGUGGAUGUGUGCAUCUAGCCAUAAUAUAACAUAUCACAUAACGCAGAUUAAUACAUACCACUUCUCUCUUAUUGGCCUUGGCUUUUUUUGUACUCUUUUUAACUGAUUUCAGCUCUAUCAGUUUACAGGUUCUUCUGAAGAGCAUUUCCUAUAACAACACAAGAAGAAAUGGACAAUUACUUUCAGUACAGUAUAGAAGAAUAGUGCACAAUCACAGCUUCUCUGCCUCUUGGUAGCGAGACUCCAGGUCCAGACCCAAACCAAGAGUGGACAGGUUGUUACUGCCAACUUUCUCAAAGUUUCGCUAAAGAUUAAAAUAAUAAUAAUAAUUAUUAUUAUUACAUUUUUAGUAUUGAUUGUAUAAAAACAGGAAUGGCCAAAAGCCCUUCACCUGUGCUUAAAGUUUUUGCAUGCAAAGUGGCCUUACCUUCACUGCCUCAAUAAUUAUCCUACAGCUUCAAACAAACCCUAAAGAAACACAAAACCUGAUUAUCCUCGCAUGACCAACAUUCACAUAAACACGCGUUUCUCUCACACAUUAAUUCCAUGUGUGCACAUUAAUGCAGACAGAAAUGCUCAUUUUAUUUAGUGAAAUCCUAACUUGGAGAAAGCUACAGCAGCUGCAUCGUCCUGAUUCACACAAAGAUGAAGAGAUGUGGAAAAAUGUCCACAGGCCAAAGCAAGCUCUGUAAAACACACACACACACAGUAAUAUACAGGCCUACUGUAUUCCUAAAUAAUGUGUACUGAGCAUGCAUAUAAACAUUUUGAAAUUACUUACUCUCCUCUGUCAUCACAACACAAAAAGAAAAGAACACAAAAUUGCAUAAUGUAUUAUAAAAUCACAGUCCACUGGCCAAAUAGAAACUGAAAAAAAAAAAACAGAAAAACAGCUUAAAUAGUGUACCUCAGUGGCAACCUUUGACAAAGCAGCAAGAUUAAUGUUUUUGUUUCUCUCAUUCUGAAAGAAGUUGUCCACAUCCAGGGGGAUUAAAUUAUAUAUUUACACACACACACCUUAUGACUUUCCUUCCUCCUCUCCUCCACAGCCUGACUGAGGCGAUUAAAGAUUCCUUUCCUGCCUCGCUGCCUUCCAGGAGACUAGUCAAAAAAUACAUAGAAUGACAAAAGUAAGAUUAUCAAGGAUUUCAUCACAUUUCCCCCAAAACUGAAAAAGGUGGUGAACAAACAAUAUAAAGAGAAGGCUUUUCUAGCAAGGUUUUUCUCCAUGCUGGAGAAUCCAGUUAAAAUCCUCAUACACCGUCACACCUCCAUACUUUAUUUACCCCUAUUAUAACCGCAUAUUAGUACCUUUUGAAAGAGUUCCAUCCCAGUGACAGCUUUUUUCCCUGAGAGUGUAUGGUGAACAUAUACAGUACAAAACAAACUGGUCACAAACACUGCUGAAAUACAAAUCAGCUCAUACCAGCUUAAGGUGGUCAAACUUCUUUUUGGGAUAUAGUAGCUAAUUUGUUGCUGGUCCAAGAUUGGCAACUAUGUUAGCCAGGUCUCCAUCUGCCAUUUUAUAAUCCGGUUGGUCAACCACCUAAACGACCUUGGCUCAAGUAAUAUAGCUAUAUAAAUAAAGAUGACUAAUGACCAGCUAGAAACCA
ensembl:lncRNA